UACGGAGGGUGCAAGCGUUGUUCGGAAUCACUGGGCGUAAAGGGCGUGUAGGCGGUCCGCUAAGUCUGAUGUGAAAGCCCGAGGCUUACCCUCGGAAGUGCAUUGGAGACUGGCGGACUGGAGUCCCGGAGAGGAGGGUGGAAUUCCUGGUGUAGCGGUGAAAUGCGUAGAUAUCAGGAGGAACACCGGUGGCGAAGGCGGCCCUCUGGACGGUGACUGACGCUGAGGUGCGAAAGCGUGGGGAGCAAACAGG
rnacentral:rRNA from 1 species